GGGCCCGUGGCGUAGCACGGAUAGCGCGUCGGCCCUCUAAGCCGGAGAUCCUGGGUUCAAAUCCCAGCGGGCCCGCCA
rnacentral:tRNA from 1 species